AAAGUGACGUUUCGACUGAUUAGGUUGUAUUUGAAAAAAGUGACGUUUCGACUGAUUAGGUUGUAUUUGAAAAAAGUGACGUUUCGACUGAUUAGGUUGUAUUUGAAAAAAGUGACGUUUCGACUGAUUAGGUUGUAUUUGAAAAAAGUGACAUUUCGACUGAUUAGGUUGUAUUUGAAAAAAAGUGAUGUUUCGACUGAUUAGGUUGUAUUUAAAAAAAGUGACGUUUCGACUGAUUAGGUUGUAUUUGAAAAAAGUGACGUUUCGACUGAUUAGGUUGUAUUUGAAAAAAGUGACGUUUCGACUGAUUAGGUUGUAUUUGAAAAAAGUGACGUUUCGACUGAUUAGGUUGUAUUUGAAAAAAGUGACGUUUCGACUGAUUAGGUUGUAUUUGAAAAAAGUGACGUUUCGACUGAUUAGGUUGUAUUUGAAAAAAGUGACGUUUCGACUGAUUAGGUUGUAUUUGAAAAAAGUGACGUUUCGACUGAUUAGGUUGUAUUUGAAAAAAGUGACGUUUCGACUGAUUAGGUUGUAUUUGAAAAAAGUGACGUUUCGACUGAUUAGGUUGUAUUUGAAAAAAAGCACAAUGUACAUUUCCAACAAUUAUGUUUUAAUUGAAAAAAAAAAUGAUCAAUUCGACUGAUUAGGUUGUAUUUGAAAAAAGUGACGUUUCGACUGAUUAGGUUGUAUUUGAAAAAAGUGACGUUUCGACUGAUUAGGUUGUAUUUGAAAAAAGUGAUGUUUCAACUGAUUAGGUUGUAUUUGAAAAAAAGCACAAU